AAUAAUAACUAUACACAUUAUUUGGCAUCAAUGUAACUCCAAAUGUUAGUCCGGAGAAAGAUACAAAGUGGCACAUCUUUGUUAUUAAAUUGAUAUCUGAUUGUAAAAUUUGAAAUGCAUUUUUAUAUAGGUUUUCUAAUGUUGAAGCAAAUUUUGUAAUCAGUCAAAAGUGACAUAAGUGUUAGGUUUUGAUAGGAUGUGACACAUGCUAGCCAUUCAAUGCAAGUUCCUCCGGAAGAGCCCUCUCCUGACUUCCUGCACCAACAAAGUUCUAACGCCAGA
rnacentral:lncRNA from 1 species